rnacentral:rRNA from 1 species
CCCCGGUAAACGGCGGCCGUAACUAUAACGGUCCUAAGGUAGCGAAAUUCCUUGUCGGGUAAGUUCCGACCUGCACGAAUGGCGUAAUGAUGGCCACGCUGUCUCCACCCGAGACUCAGUGAAAUUGAAAUCGCUGUGAAGAUGCAGUGUACCCGCGGCUAGACGGAAAGACCCCGUGAACCUUUACUACAGCUUGGCACUGAACAUUGACCCUACAUGUGUAGGAUAGGUGGGAGGCUUUGAAGCACGUACGCCAGUAUGUGUGGAGCCGUCCUUGAAAUACCACCCUUGUAGUGUUGAUGUUCUAACGUCGACCCCUUAUCGGGGUUGCGGACAGUGCCUGGUGGGUAGUUUGACUGGGGCGGUCUCCUCCCAAAGAGUAACGGAGGAGCACGAAGGUGGGCUAAUCACGGUUGGACAUCGUGAGGUUAGUGCAAUGGCAUAAGCCCGCUUGACUGCGAGAAUGACAAUUCGAGCAGGUGCGAAAGCAGGUCAUAGUGAUCCGGUGGUUCUGAAUGGAAGGGCCAUCGCUCAACGGAUAAAAGGUACUCCGGGGAUAACAGGCUGAUACCGCCCAAGAGUUCAUAUCGACGGCGGUGUUUGGCACCUCGAUGUCGGCUCAUCACAUCCUGGGGCUGAAGUCGGUCCCAAGGGUAUGGCUGUUCGCCAUUUAAAGUGGUACGCGAGCUGGGUUUAGAACGUCGUGAGACAGUUCGGUCCCUAUCUGCCGUGGGCGUUGGAAGAUUGAAGGGGGCUGCUCCUAGUACGAGAGGACCGGAGUGGACGAACCUCUGGUGUUCGGGUUGUGUCGCCAGACGCAUUGCCCGGUAGCUAAGUUCGGAAUCGAUAACCGCUGAAAGCA